rnacentral:rRNA from 1 species
AGAGUUUGAUCCUGGCUCAGAUUGAACGCUGGCGGCAGGCCUAACACAUGCAAGUCGAACGGUAACAGGAAGCAGCUUGCUGCUUUGCUGACGAGUGGCGGAUGGGUGAGUAAUGUCUGGGAAACUGCCUGAUGGAGGGGGAUAACUACUGGAAACGGUAGCUAAUACCGCAUAACGUCGCAAGACCAAAGAGGGGGACCUUAGGGCCUCUUGCCAUCGGAUGUGCCCAGAUGGGAUUAGCUAGUAGGUGGGGUAACGGCUCACCUAGGCGAUGAUCCCUAGCUGGUCUGAGAGGAUGACCAGCCACACUGGAACUGAGACACGGUCCAGACUCCUACGGGAGGCAGUAGUGGGGAAUAUUGCACAAUGGGCGCAAGCCUGAUGCAGCCAUGCCGCGUGUAUGAAGAAGGCCUUCGGGUUGUAAAGUACUUUCAGCGGGGAGGAAGGGAGUAAAGUUAAUACCUUUGCUCAUUGACGUUACCCGCAGAAGAAGCACCGGCUAUCUCCGUGCCAGCAGCCGCGGGAAUACGGAGGGUGCGAGUGGUAAUUUUAAUUACUGGGCGUAAAGCGCACGCAGGGGGGUUGUUAAGUCAGAUGUGAAAUCCUCGGGCUCAACCUGGGAACUGCUUCUGAUACUGGCAGCUUAAUUUCGUAGAAGGGGGGUAGAAAU